rnacentral:rRNA from 1 species
CACGUAGGGCGCAAGCGUUGUCCGGAAUUAUUGGGCGUAAAGAGCUCGUAGGUGGUUUGUUACGUCUGCUGUGAAAACCUAGGGCUUAACCCUGGGCUUGCAGUGGAUACGGGCAGACUAGAGGUAGGUAGGGGAGAAUGGAAUUCCUGGUGUAGCGGUGAAAUGCGCAGAUAUCAGGAGGAACACCGGUGGCGAAGGCGGUUCUCUGGGCCGGAACUGACGCUGAGGAGCGAAAGCGUGGGGAGCGAACAGG